rnacentral:rRNA from 1 species
CCUGAGAAACCCAAAAGAUCGAAUGGGGAGAUUCAUCGUCAGCGAUACUGGUACGUGUGCGGUUCGCGAUGACGGGAGGCUUCGGUCUCUCGGCACGCGUCCGCAUGUUUUAUUGCCUGGUGUCGUCGGCGUGCACUUCUCCCCUAGUAGGACGUCGCGACCCGUUGGGUGUCGGUCUACGGCCCGGGUGGGUGCCUGUCUCGUGUGGCGCUUUACGGCGUCGCUGCGGGGCAGACCCCCGGCUGCCUGACCGGCUGCCCGGCGGUACUCGCAAGGUAUCUGGCCGCAAAUAUUCGAACUGCGUCCGGCCCGUCGCAAGCGAGGCGAGUGUUUCCCGAAUGCACGGAUCUAAUGCCGUCAUCGGGCCUCGCCAGCUGUUGGUUGACGGUGUCCUAGGACUGGCUAUAACAAUUAUGAUACCGGUCAGCGACGCUACUGCUUUGGUACUUUC